CAAGUCGAGCGGUAGAGAGAAGCUUGCUUCUCUUGAGAGCGGCGGACGGGUGAGUAAUGCCUAGGAAUCUGCCUGGUAGUGGGGGAUAACGUUCGGAAACGGACGCUAAUACCGCAUACGUCCUACGGGAGAAAGCAGGGGACCUUCGGGCCUUGCGCUAUCAGAUGAGCCUAGGUCGGAUUAGCUAGUUGGUGAGGUAAUGGCUCACCAAGGCAACGAUCCGUAACUGGUCUGAGAGGAUGAUCAGUCACACUGGAACUGAGACACGGUCCAGACUCCUACGGGAGGCAGCAGUGGGGAAUAUUGGACAAUGGGCGAAAGCCUGAUCCAGCCAUGCCGCGUGUGUGAAGAAGGUCUUCGGAUUGUAAAGCACUUUAAGUUGGGAGGAAGGGCAGUUACCUAAUACGUGAUUGUUUUGACGUUACCGACAGAAUAAGCACCGGCUAACUCUGUGCCAGCAGCCGCGGUAAUACAGAGGGUGCAAGCGUUAAUCGGAAUUACUGGGCGUAAAGCGCGCGUAGGUGGUUAGUUAAGUUGGAUGUGAAAUCCCCGGGCUCAACCUGGGAACUGCAUUCAAAACUGACUGACUAGAGUAUGGUAGAGGGUGGUGGAAUUUCCUGUGUAGCGGUGAAAUGCGUAGAUAUAGGAAGGAACACCAGUGGCGAAGGCGACCACCUGGACUGAUACUGACACUGAGGUGCGAAAGCGUGGGGAGCAAACAGGAUUAGAUACCCUGGUAGUCCACGCCGUAAACGAUGUCAACUAGCCGUUGGGAGCCUUGAGCUCUUAGUGGCGCAGCUAACGCAUUAGUUGACCGCCUGGGAGUACGGCCGCAAGGUUAAAACUCAAAUGAAUUGACGGGGGCCCGCACAAGCGGU
rnacentral:rRNA from 1 species